rnacentral:lncRNA from 1 species
UUUUUUUUUGGUCACUGCAACAAAAUACCAAGCCAAAAAAAAAAAAUGUAAAGAAGAAAGGUUGAUUUCAGUUCACACUCUCAGAGUACCUUCCACCUUGGUGAGGAAGCUAUGGCGACAGGAACUUGAGACAACUGGUCACAUUGUACCUGUAGUUAAGGACAUGGAGGGAGAAAGCCUCAGUCUUUUAAUGUGUCAUUCUUGGAGUGAGGAGAGCCUGAGCUGGGACCCAUUUUCUGGAUCCAAACCACAAAGCUUCUCCAGCACAAGUAUGCUUUAAACCUGCUACCUAAUCCUUCGUGGAAAGGAAGCAACAGCCAUCUAUCUCCCUGGUGUGGAACAAGGGUCAGACAGCUGAGCCUCUGCUAUGCCUACAGCUGCGAGAGCAUCUGCACACAGAUGGGCUGGGAGAAAGACUGGGGCCCUUUAGAUGGGAAAGUGAUACAGAUCAUAGAAGGGCCAAGAGGGCCUCAAAGCUUCUGGGUGAGAAGGUGAGGGGUAACCUUACCAGAACUAAGGAGGUUACUACUACAGAGAAGAGAAGACAAAGGACCCAGGUUAUAGUAACCUCAACAUCGUUUUCUAAAAGGCCGAUAUAUUCAUUAAAUUGUGCUCGGAAGCAGAGGUAGCCGGUGCUCUGCAAAUAUUUAUAGCAGCAUUUUAAAAUUCAUUAUGUUUUAUGAGUAAAGUAUGACAAUGAAUGUUAUGAAAAGGAUAAAUAACAAAAUAGCAGACACCCAAAAAGUGAAAGGCUCAACUAAUUCCACCAUGUUGGAAAUAAACACAGGUAGUGGAUUAGGGUAGUUAUACAAGGGCUUUAGCCAAUCAUCUGUUUAUAUAGUAAAGACACAUGGAGGGGAAAAGGUGUGUCUGAACUCAUCUUCCAGCUGUCUGUGACUGAAGAGCCCUCUGCCAGAUUCUUUAAAUCAAAACACCACCUUCUGCCACCUGGUGAGAGCGAUCUCAUUUCCUGAUAGGAUGGGGUAUCCCAGGCAUGGCUGUCUUUCCAGUUCAGUAGCAGCAAUCUUACCCUAUCAGUGGGGUCCCCUGCUGUCACCAAGAUACUUCUUACUUGGGGGUCAAUAUGGCAUCUGAAACAAGGCAUGAUGGGUAGGAGGAUUCUGUGAUACAGAAAUACAUGUUUGGCCUCUGUUCCUGCCUCCCGGUUUCUGACUUGAGUUCCCAAAGUCCCUGCCACACCUCCCCUCCUUGUUAUCAGAACAUCUUUGUUCUAAGAUUUACUAUUGUUUAUUAGUUUAUAAUUAGAAUGUAUAUGGGGAAUGGUGUUAUAUUUUAAUACAUGCAUACACUGCAUAUUGACUAAAUCAGAGUAGUUAGCCUCAUGACAGCAUGCACUUAUCAUUUCUUUGCGGUGAGAACCUCAAACU